rnacentral:lncRNA from 1 species
CAAGAACCAGGGCGAUGCUAUCGACUUGCAAUCUCGAAUUAAUUGAUACUUAAAUGAUCUAAAAUAUCAAGAAAUAAAAUAAUUAUCACCAGUGCACAGCACGUGAUCAUCAAAAUAUCCAAUCUGUUGUGAUUGUUUUUUGCUUCUGUAGCUUAUGAUUGUUCAGAAGUUUUAGAAUUUGGUCGGCCGAGAAAAAAAAAGUACGUACAUGGAAUCCUACUGUAGUAGAGGAUGAGUCCGAAUCCAGUUGAGGGACUGGUGAUUCUUGGAAUGAAUUGCUCUUAUUGGUACUUUAGAUCCAUAUUACAUGAGAAGAUGGAGUGAUCGAUGAGAGUGCCACCUCGACAUAGAGAGUUCAAGCAGGGGAGGUGAAAUGGACAUGCUUCUCUUAGAAUCUAGAAUAUCUUUGUAUUAUUUGUAGGACUACAGCUUGUAAAAGAUUAUCUGAAACUUAUGUGAUCCAACUCCAUGCCAAGGG